GUUAAUGAAAAACUUGAGGAAUGUUUAUUCAGGGGGGACGACAUGUCCCUUAUAAAGCAAAAUGACAUCAUAAGCAUUGUCAGAGAUAACAUGAAAUAAUACAUCAAUAAUUAAUUAAUUUAAUGCUCUGCCUACUGAGGGUGAUGUCACCGGCAUCUUGGAGGUCUCCCCCAGAUUCCAGCGCCAUCUUGUUAAUGAGGGUGUUAGUCGAUGUUAAAGGGGAAACUCCCUAGCGGCCAUUUUGGGUAAAUCACAUAGAAAGUUGAAUAAUGCUGAUUGUAGUUGUUUUGAGUAAAUAGGCAUUUUACUGAUAUAAAUUGGGUUAAUAUUUUUGUCCACAACAGUCCCCCCUUAAAAUGACUAUUUACGAAAAGAAUGAAGGAAAAGGCAGCCAACUACUAGCUAGCUAACCCUAAUAAUGUCCCUAAUUUGGCUGCAGCUCAUCUGUCUUAACAGGCCUUGAACACUUCACUGCGCAGGUAUCCCGCAGCGGCUAACCCACUACAUCUCCUGCGUCAGACUCUUGCCCGUAGAGACAGACGCUAUCCCUAUACUGUCCCUAUGAAGUGGUAGUAGUUGUUGUCUGUUUGAAAUGGUGGGACUGAAGUGGUGUGUGUGGAGUGUCACAGUCUAUAUCAUCAGCAUCUUGGUGUAGGUAUAUGAGUGUAGUGUGGUCAAUGGUCUGGUCUACGGUCUUUUGUAAGUAUCUCUGCACACAAAGUACCACACAACAGGUUAGGAAGAGGAAGAAGAUCAUUACAGUAAGAACUGCCAUCCCUAUUUGGAAAAGAGUCCUUUGCCAUCCACUCAUCCAUCCAAACAAUUUAUCCCAAGAGUUAGGAACCCCUGAAUUUUUCUUUAAUUCAUCAGAGAGAUUUUCUAAUUUCUCUAUGGCCAUGGUUACCUUACCAUUAGGACCAGUAUUGUCUGGGAUAAAAGUACAACAUGUCAUCGUCUCAGGGAGUAUUUUACAUACGCCCCCCUUUUCAGCUAAAAUCAUGUCUAAGGCUAUUCUAUUUUGAAAUGUCAUGUGAGAGGUAACCUGUAACUGUUCGGCUAAGCCCUGUAGGGCAUCUCGAGUGUAGUUGACGAAUCGUUGUUGAUUGUAGUAGAUGUAAUUUAUCCAGUUAACAUUUUUAUUAGCAGUGAUGAGGGGGGUCAAGGAUUUGAAUCCUGCUGCCACUUCAUCUCUGGUUUUGAAUUCAUUUGGUACCCCCUAGGUACUCCAGUGGCAUCUAUAUAUACAUGUGGGUCAAAACUACCUUGGAUAGGACUUUCUCUUUUUUCUCUAAGAUGUGUAUGUGAUGAAUCGUAUGGACCUUGGUGGUUGUCAGGGAAGAUGUGUAUGGGCAUAAUAACUUUAGUUAGAGUACAUUCUCCCCACCAUAAGCCAGUCAUUUUUUACCUUAGUUGCAUGUCAC